GGGAAAAGGGAUUCAGAACAUGUAUAUACAACAGGUUAAAACUUAUGCCCCAGGUGUUUAAAUAUGUAACUUUAACUCCUUUUCUGUAAUAGAACCUAAAUUAGCUCAUAAGCCCCAUUUCAACUCAGAACCUGUGUCACUUUUGGGUUAGAGUCAACUCAAAGUUUAAACUCAGGCAGGUAAAUAUUAAAGACUGUCCUCUUCACUCGUCUCCCCUCUUCCCCUGCAGGGACCAGAGUUUCCCACAGGACUGUCUGCUGUCCAGGCACCUCGUCUCCGCUGCAGGGCAGGUGGAUGCACCUGACCAGGGGCAUCAUCCUGCCACACCAGAUGCUGCUGACGUCUGUGGUCCCACCACAGUUUCUGGUCUCACAUUCCACCUGCUCUGCAUUCUCCCCAGCUAGACCUUACUGCUCAAUCCCAUUCUGGAAAUCAGAGGACCCUCACGUGCCCUACAUUGUACCCUCAGGCCACUCAUCUGCUCUCCACAACACUGGCAUUGCCUAUCCACUGUACACAAAUGGAAAAUGCAAACCAUCAUCCAUAAAGUCUUCAGGAAAGGAACUCAUGGAUCUCCUUUUAAUUGUGAAGAGGUUCCCAGACAUUUCUUCAUGGCGUACCUUGCGUAGUCCAAGUCACAGGAAGGAACAAGUGCAUAUUGGCCGCAUAAUUAACAGUCACAUGUCUUGCCUGAUUGAGACAUCAUCACUGAAUGCAGCUCCUCAAAGGGACAGCUAG
rnacentral:lncRNA from 1 species